CAUCAGCAGGCUCCGCUUGAUCAGCCACCCUCUAGUAGACAGCAACAACAAGGCUUCCUUCAUUGCCUCUGUCUCUAACUCUCACUCAUAGGCUUUCAACUCGCUCAUGGAUGUUCUUUUCGCUUAACCGUCCACAAAACCCCAGAAACAAUAAUAAUUCUUUACAGAAGGCAGCAGAGAAAGACACAUGCAAGAUGCACAGUUUGGUUCUGAUGUAGACUAAUUAGUAUUUCCGUAGGGACUGAAAUCCAACCAUCUGAUUGUAAACCAGAAGUUUCCACAGCUAUCUGUCACAAGUACCCAUUAACCUCUCUCACCAGGGGAUGUGAAUGGGAUGUGAAUGGAGCCCACAAACAAGAGUUUCUAAACAAAACCGGAGAGAAGCUGGAAAUGGAGAUGCUGGAAUAACUUCCGUUAAUGACCAGAAGCGUAAUCCCCCAAACACCUACUGGACCUGCUGGCCUAGAUUACUGGACAAACUCCUUUUUAAUGAAGAGUCAUGCUUGUUACGUAAAAGAAACAGCAACAACUUCACAUUCCUUUGCAAAUACAGCCCCAGGCUGUGCUCUGACCAGAAAAAGAGAUAAAUUUGUCAUGCUCCACUGUCCUGAGAUCCUGAUGUGAAGGUGUUGGCACAGAAAUGCUUCCCAAGAAAUGGAAGGAAAAUCUCCUCAACUUUAGACACUCUGGCAAGAAAGGACCAAAGCAUUUUAGUAUCUGAUGAGAACUUCCCUACAUGGUGCAGACACAGGACUAAGCUUCCCCUGUCCUGCAUCUCCUCAGUCCAUCCACUUAGCUCAGAG
rnacentral:lncRNA from 1 species